rnacentral:lncRNA from 1 species
GCUCCCAGUUUGGCUCCAAGGCCUCCCCCAGUCCCUCCCAGUAUAACCCAGUCCCUCCCAGUAUAACCCAGUCCAUCCCAUUCCCUCCCAGUUUGUCCCAGUUCCAUCCCAGUCCAUCCCAGUCCGUCCCAGUUUGUCCCAGUUCCCACCCGGCCUCAUCGCCGCUUUCUCCACGCGGGGCUCGCGCGCCUCUGCCGGAACGGGAAGUGACGUCACAAAUAACGGGA